AACGAACGCUGGCGGCAUGCCUAAUACAUGCAAGUCGAACGAUCACUUCGGUGAUAGCGGCGCACGGGUGCGUAACGCGUGGGAAUCUGCCCUUGGGUUCGGAAUAACUUCUGGAAACGGAAGCUAAUACCGGAUGAUGACGUAAGUCCAAAGAUUUAUCGCCCAAGGAUGAGCCCGCGUAGGAUUAGCUAGUUGGUGGGGUAAAGGCCCACCAAGGCGACGAUCCUUAGCUGGUCUGAGAGGAUGAUCAGCCACACUGGGACUGAGACACGGCCCAGACUCCUACGGGAGGCAGCAGUAGGGAAUAUUGGACAAUGGGCGAAAGCCUGAUCCAGCAAUGCCGCGUGAGUGAUGAAGGCCUUAGGGUUGUAAAGCUCUUUUACCCGGGAUGAUAAUGACAGUACCGGGAGAAUAAGCUCCGGCUAACUCUGUGCCAGCCGCCGCCGUAAAAC
rnacentral:rRNA from 1 species